UACGAAGGGGGCGAGCGUUAUUCGGAAUGAUUGGGCGUAAAGAGUUCGUAGGCCGUUGUUUUGGUUAUGUGUAAAACACUGAAUUUAUUCUUUAGAAAUGCACUUAAAACUUUAUUACUUGAGUAAGGCAGAGGAUAACAGAAUUUUAGUGUGGUAGGGGUAAAAUCCAGUGACUCGUGAAGGAAUGUCUGCGGCGAAAGCGGUUAUCUGGGUCUUUUACUUACGCUGAGGGACGAAAGCGUAGGGAGCAAACAGG
rnacentral:rRNA from 1 species